GGACUACCCGGGUUUCUAAUCCCGUUCGCUACCCACGCUUUCGUGCUUGAGUGUCAGGAACGCGCCAGUACAUUGCCUUCGCUUUCGGUGUUCCCCAUGAUAUCAACGGAUUUCACCCCUACACCAUGAGUUCCAUGUACCUCUCACGCCCUCGAGUCUAUCCGUUUCGCGCGCGAUUCCGAAGUUGAGCUUCGGGUUUUAACACGCGACUAAAUAGACCACCUACGCACUCUUUACGCCCAGUAAUUCCGGGUAACGCUUGGGGCCUCUGUAUUACCGCGGCUGCUGGCAC
rnacentral:rRNA from 1 species